rnacentral:rRNA from 1 species
AGUGAACGCUGGCGGUCUGCCUAACACAUGCAAGUCGAACGGCAGCACAGUAAGAGCUUGCUCUUACGGGUGGCGAGUGGCGGACGGGUGAGGAAUACAUCGGAAUCUACUUUUUCGUGGGGGAUAACGUAGGGAAACUUACGCUAAUACCGCAUACGACCUACGGGUGAAAGCAGGGGAUCUUCGGACCUUGCGCGAUUGAAUGAGCCGAUGUCGGAUUAGCUAGUUGGCGGGGUAAAGGCCCACCAAGGCGACGAUCCGUAGCUGGUCUGAGAGGAUGAUCAGCCACACUGGAACUGAGACACGGUCCAGACUCCUACGGGAGGCAGCAGUGGGGAAUAUUGGACAAUGGGCGCAAGCCUGAUCCAGCCAUACCGCGUGGGUGAAGAAGGCCUUCGGGUUGUAAAGCCCUUUUGUUGGGAAAGAAAAGCAGCAGGUUAAUACCCCGCUGUUCUGACGGUACCCAAGGAAUAAGCACCGGCUAACUUCGUG